UACGUAGGGUGCGAGCGUUGUCCGGAAUUACUGGGCGUAAAGAGCUCGUAGGUGGUUUGUCGCGUUGUUCGUGAAAACCGGGGGCUUAACCCUCGGCGUGCGGGCGAUACGGGCAGACGUGGAGUACUGCAGGGGAGACUGGAAUUCCUGGUGUAGCGGUGGAAUGCGCAGAUAUCAGGAGGAACACCCGGUGGCGAAGG
rnacentral:rRNA from 1 species